CCCUUAGAUGUUCUGGGCCGCACGCGCGCUACACUGACGGAUUCAACGAGCUUACAACCUUGGCCGAAAGGUCUGGGUAAUCUCCAAAAUCCGUCGUGAUGGGGAUAGAUUAUUGCAAUUAUUAAUCUUCAACGAGGAAUGCCUAGUAAGCGCAAGUCAUCAGCUUGCGUUGAUUACGUCCCUGCCCUUUGUACGCACCGCCCGUCGCUCCUACCGAUUGAAUGGUCCGGUGAAGCGUUUGGACUAUGGUUUUCUGAUGGUCCGCCGUUGGAUUACCGUGGGAAGUUCGUUAAACCUUAUCAUUUAGAGGAAGGAGAAGUCGUAACA
rnacentral:rRNA from 1 species